GGGCUGCACAACGAUAGCCUUCGCUUCCGCUUUCUUCGGCUCAACCGGCUUGUUAUCGGCACACGGCAGAUCUUCACCGUACGGGUGCGGGAUCGGGUCGAUUUUGCCCGGC
rnacentral:misc_RNA from 1 species